CCUAAAACCCUAACACAGUAAAAACCCAAAUGCCCGACCAGCCACACGCUGCCAUCUUGCAUCUCAGUUGCGGCGCACCAUCUACCUACCUACUAGCUAUUUAGGUACUUACCUACCUACUUACCUACCUGCUGCCUUCACACAUCCAAUCUGGAUAAACGAUGGCAGCCUGAUGCCUUGUGCACAGGCGAAGCUGCCAUUACACCCCCCUGUCCGCCGGAAACACGUAACUAAAUGUAGGCGCCCAUCAGUCGAGGUGUAACCCCGAGCUGCUAGGGCACAGCGACCACUCGAAAUGCCCAGAGGGGCGUAAAAGCUAUCGCAACAAGAAGCGCAACCAGAAGCGCAAGCACCAGCAAAGCCAAAUGCAGGGGGUUGAACCCCUCCCCAAAACUGUCCAUGACGUCUGCGGUACGAACGCGAAUCGCCAUCACGAGCAAGACACAGCCUGCCUGCCCCUCUUUGUAUGGUGUUUACGUAUCUACACCUUCUCCGUACAGUCCCCCCUCCUAUUCCCCUCUAACCCCCAACCAGCAACCGCCUAGACAACAGAAUGGAAGGUAGCCACGGCUCUAGCUACGCGUGCAACACCACAUACAAUGUAAGACGUACUGUACUACAAAACAGCACAGCGGCGCCGCGUCCGAGAAAGAAAGAAAGAAAAGCAAGCAAGAGCCGUGCGACCGGGACUGAAUACAACGUUUUAACCGAUACAAGGAACACUUGUGCAACAAAUUCUGAAACAAGUCCAAAGGACGGCGGCAGAAAGGAAAGGCAGAGGGGAUGCAAUCACUGGGGUACUGCUCAAUUGGUCAUUGGUCACCGGACAGGCUGCUGAAGCUGUCCGGGGCUCUCGGAAGGAUUGAGCAGCGGCCUUCUGCCUUCUGGUGAUACGAGCCGGGGAGUCAGGCCCCGGAGGCGCUAGGCGCCUGCGCCAGUGUGUAGAAUCGAUAUACCAUACUGGACGUCAACCGCCGGGCCGUGAACUCUCUCCCUACUCGUUUCACACCAACAACCCCACAGUUGGAAAUCUUUCAUCUUCUCGCCUUCUUCGUCCUCCUGCUAUGGCUCAUUCUUUUCUGGCAUAAAAACACGCACACAACACACGCACUUCCACACAGAACGUAUUGAGGUUCAAAGCAGGGCCGUUAAAGCCCAGAGUUACAAAUCCAGCAGCACUGCAGACCCCAGCACGUGAAUAACCCCGCGCUGCUACACAUAUCAUCAUGAGGCUCAUGCGCCAUUCGGCUGGCGGCAGCCAGGUAUUCAUGCCGUGAACCCUGCUACUGCCCCCCACACACACCAACCCCCAAGCCACCCGCUGCUGCGUUACCACACGCCUCAAUGUGGAAACCUCCCUGCGCUCGACCUACCUACCGAUGUAUUCUCACCACCCCUACUCCCCAUGCAUGCCCAUGCCUGCGCACACAUACACGCGAAGCAGUAACAUAACACAAGCAGUAAACACAAAGCAAGGAUGCUACGUGGAACGCGCCGCCACAUGAUCCGACGUCCAAACCCUGCUAUCCUGUCGGGUGGUGACAGUUCCCCCUAGGCAGCGAGUCCGGCGCUGAAGGAGGUGCCGGCUCACCCGAAAGUACCUGUCUCGACCUAUUGUGCGAAGACAACAAUGAGCGUAACAAGGUAAGGUAACAUAUUGGCCACGGAAUGCAGUAAGGACCGAAAACCGGAAAUCUUUUCAUUGCAUCGGUGUAUAGCCGCUGUUGCAACGCGACCGGGGCCCCUCACGACCUGCCAGACGACCCGCCACCAGACUGCGCACGCUGGUGAGAGGGAUAGUACGGCUGCGCCGCUGCAGCGGCAGCAGUCGUCGCCAGGGCGGUAGCAGUCGCUGGGUAUAAUGGCCCUCCGCCGCCGCCACCGCCAUCGCCACCAACACCAACACCGCUAGCCGAGCCGCUUUCCCCCGAGCCAAAUUGCUGCACGGCAAACACGGGUGACUCUGGGCACGGCUGCGAGGGCGGCCUCGAUACGCCUGCAUGGCUUGAGCCGCCGCUGGCCGUGCGGCUGCUGUUCCGAGAGUGGUCGCGUCGCUGCGGCAUUGCAGGGNNNNNNNNNNNNNNNNNNNNNNNNNNNNNNNNNNNNNNNNNNNNNNNNNNGUAAUAGUCAAGGCAGGAAGGAAAAGGCAUAAAAAGAUGCAUUCCGGGUAUGUAGUACUGAAUCCGCAAAUCCUAAGUCCCGGCCAGUCCUCCCUUCAGCCAUCUACUUCAGCCUCUUGGCCUCUCCCGACCUCUCGGCCAGACGCACUGUCGUCAGACAGACAGACAGACAGACAGACAGACAGACACACGCAGCCACUGGUCGCCUGCACGCACCUUGUUCCCCAUGUCGAAGGUCAGCUCGUACAUCUCCGCCAGUGUCGCCCUGUGCAUGUUCCACCAGGCCUGGCCUUGAGACUGCUCCGUGAACAUCUUGCGAUUGAAGCGAACCUUGACCAGCCGAACCGGGCCGCCUUUUUGUGCCGGUGGCUUCAACGUGAUGUAGACGCCCUGCUCAGCAGUUCGUCAGCAGUUCGCCAUGCAUGUGGUGGUAUGGGGUAAGUGGAUGGGGUAUGUGGCGGUAAGCAAUUAUGGGGCGAGCAGGUAGCCAUUGAGACGCGUGAAGGCGGCGGGGUGGCAUCCUUUUCCCUCGCAUGCGUGUGUGUGGAUGGAUAGAAGUGGAUUCGAGCAGUGGUUACUCAACACACAGCCGCAUCCCGCUGGUACGCCUCCGACCAACCCGCAGCGAGNNNNNNNNNNNNNNNNNNNNNNNNNNNNNNNNNNNNNNNNNNNNNNNNNNNNNNNNNNNNNNNNNNNNNNNNNNNNNNNNNNNNNNNNNNNNNNNNNNNNNNNNNNNNNNNNNNNNNNNNNNNNNNNNNNNNNNNNNNNNNNNNNNNNNNNNNNNNNNNNNNNNNNNNNNNNNNNNNNNNNNNNNNNNNNNNNNNNNNNNNNNNNNNNNNNNNNNNNNNNNNNNNNNNNNNNNNNNNNNNNNNNNNNNNNNNNNNNNNNNNNNNNNNNNNNNNNNNNNNNNNNNNNNNNNNNNNNNNNNNNNNNNNNNNNNNNNNNNNNNNNNNNNNNNNNNNNNNNNNNNNNNNNNNNNNNNNNNNNNNNNNNNNNNNNNNNNNNNNNNNNNNNNNNNNNNNNNNNNNNNNNNNNNNACACGCACUUCCCACAGAACGUAUUGAGGUUCAAAGCAGGGCCGUUAAAGCCCAGAGUUACAAAUCCAGCAGCACUGCAGACCCCAGCACGUGAAUAACCCCGCGCUGCUACACAUAUCAUCAUGAGGCUCAUGCGCCAUUCGGCUGGCGGCAACCAGGUAUUCAUGCCGUGAACCCUGCUACUGCCCCCCACACACACCAACCCCCAAGCCACCCGCUGCUGCGUUACCACACGCCUCAAUGUGGAAACCUCCCUGCGCUCGACCUACCUACCGAUGUAUUCUCACCACCCCUACUCCCCAUGCAUGCCCAUGCCUGCGCACACAUACACGCGAAGCAGUAACAUAACACAAGCAGUAAACACAAAGCAAGGAUGCUACGUGGAACGCGCCGCCACAUGAUCCGACGUCCAAACCCUGCUAUCCUGUCGGGUGGUGACAGUUCCCCCUAGGCAGCGAGUCCGGCGCUGAAGGAGGUGCCGGCUCACCCGAAAGUACCUGUCUCGACCUAUUGUGCGAAGACAACAAUGAGCGUAACAAGGUAAGAUAACAUAUUGGCCACGGAAUGCAGUAAGGACCGAAAACCGGAAAUCUUUUCAUUGCACCGGUGUAUAGCCGCUGUUGCAACGCGACCAGGGCCCCUCACGACCUGCCAGACGACCCGCCACCAGACUGCGCACGCUGGUGAGAGGGAUAGUACGGCUGCGCCGCUGCGGCGGCAGCAGCCGUCGCCAGGGCGGUAGCAGUCGCUGGGUAUAAUGGCCCUCCGCCGCCGCCACCGCCAUCGCCACCAACACCAACACCAACACCGCCAGCCGAGCCGCUUCCCCCCGAACCAAAUUGCUGCAAGGCAAACACGGGUGACUCUGGGCACGGCUGCGAGGGCGGCCUCGAUACGCCUGCAUGGCUUGAGCCGCCGCUGGCCGUGCGGCUGCUGUUUCCGAGAGUGGUCGCGUCGCUGCGGCAUUGCAGGGGACCCCGCCACCCCCAUAGUCCCCACAGGUGGCGGCGGCGGCAACACCAUCAUGGCCUGGCUGUCGUAGUUCAGCUCAGUCCAACUCAUAUCGAAAUCGCCGCCGCCGCCGCCGGCGCCACCACCGCCACCGCCGCCGCCAGCUACCGCUGACGCGACAGAACGCCACAUGGCCCCCGCUGAACCCGUCACAAGGUCGCCCCCGCCAGCGGCGCCAGAGGCUGCACCCCCGUGAAGGGGGCUGUUACUGACUGGGACGGAGAAGUACAUGCUACUGCUCCCCGACGCCGCGGUGCUGCCGGCGCUCGUCCCUUGUGUGUCGGUGCUCAUGCCGCGGGUGUGCAUUGCGGCCGGGGGAACUGUGCCGUGUGAACCGGGAGCUAGCGGCGGCAACCCCGGCGGUGAUGAUGAUGGUGCUACAGGUGCCUGGAUAUUCAUCACAAAUGGUGAUGCGCACCUAUUUUCAUCAAGUAAUAGUCAAGGCAGGAAGGAAAAGGCAUAAAAAGAUGCAUUCCGGGUAUGUAGUACUGAAUCCGCAAAUCCUAAGUCCCGGCCAGUCCUCCCUUCAGCCAUCUACUUCAGCCUCUUGGCCUCUCCCGACCUCUCGGCCAGAAGCACUGUCGUCAGACAGACAGACAGACAGACAGACAGACAGACACACGCAGCCACUGGUCGCCUGCACGCACCUUGUUCCCCAUGUCGAAGGUCAGCUCGUACAUCGCCGCCAGUGUCGCCCUGUGCAUGUUCCACCAGGCCUGGCCUUGAGACUGCUCCGUGAACAUCUUGCGAUUGAAGCGAACCUUGACCAGCCGAACCGGGCCGCCUUUUUGUGCCGGUGGCUUCAACGUGAUGUAGACGCCCUAUUCAGCAGUUCGUCAGCAGUUCGCCAUGCAUGUGGUGGUAUGGGGUAAGUGGAUGGGGUAUGUGGUGCUAAGCAAUUAUGGGGCGAGCAGGUAGCCAUUGAGACGCGUGAAGGCUGCGGGGUGGCAUCCUUUUCCCUCGCAUGCGUGUGUGUGGAUGGAUAGAAGUGGAUUCGAGCAGUGGUUACUCAACACACAGCCGCAUCCCGCUGGUACGCCUCCGACCAACCCGCAGCGAGCCCAGGCAGCAUGCGGGUGCCAGUGUCACCUGGCCUUGCAAACCAUACACGGCGCCACACACCUAUGCAUGGUGGUGGAAGAUGCAGCGCGUCCACUGCCUCCAAUCCUACCGAGCUGUCAUGGACUCCCGAGCAACCAGCCAACCGGCAGACCGACAGACCGACCAGCAACUAAUCCGCGCUCCCCACCAAGGGCACCCUCCAAGGCCUCCUACCGGCGCAUACUGGAACUGCACACCCUCCGGUGGCAGCGUGUCCGCCGCAAGCGCCAAGGGAACAGCGUAGCCCGAUGAUGAUGACGUGUGCUCUGUGCCGCCUGCCCCGCCUGCCAUCGUGUUGCCAUGUCCAGGCAUACCUCCGCCAGGGACACCACUGCCGCUACCGUUGCCACUGCCACUGCCACCGCCACCGCCACCACUCGCGCUGCUUCCGCCAGGCGGCUGCUCUUCAACCACCAUUUCGUGAUGCAUCGUGUUCGCCCACUCCACAAACGCGUUUCGCCGCCGCCAGAUCGGGGCCCCGGCCCCCCCCCCGCCCCGGGCCCCACCCUUGCCCCCACCCCCGCCAACACCAGCGGAGGCGGCAGCAGCGGCCAGGCUGCCGUUUGCUUCCUGCACGGCGGGGAAAGCUGGUACGGGCCCAGACGCCGGCCCCGCAGCGCUCUCCAAGCACCCACUGCCCUCACCACUGGUAGACGAAGGGUAGGAGGUCUCGGAGGUGGGGCGGACCAGGCCGUCUUGGUCGGAGAUGGAAUGGAANNNNNNNNNNNNNNNNNNNNNNNNNNNNNNNNNNNNNNNNNNNNNNNNNNNNNNNNNNNNNNNNNNNNNNNNNNNNNNNNNNNNNNNNNNNNNNNNNNNNNNNNNNNNNNNNNNNNNNNNNNNNNNNNNNNNNNNNNNNNNNNNNNNNNNNNNNNNNNNNNNNNNNNNNNNNNNNNNNNNNNNNNNNNNNNNNNNNNNNNNNNNNNNNNNNNNNNNNNNNNNNNNNNNNNNNNNNNNNNNNNNNNNNGACUGCAGCCCGCCGCUGGUGCCUGCUGCUGGGGCUGCUGGGGCUGCGUGGGCGUCAUCGUCAGCGGCGGCCGCUGCUGCUGUGACACGUACAUCUGCCGAUGCAGGGAGCCCUGCGCCGCCAGCGGCAGGGCCACAGACAAGAUGACGGAGCCCAGCCUAUCAAUGCCGGCUGCGGAAUUCAACGACUCGUCCACGGCCGGCUCCAUCUCCCCCCCGUCGCCGUCCUCGUCGUCUUCAGGCUCCUCGUCGUCCUCAUCAUACCCCUCUUCCAACACCUCCUCCUCAAACUCCGCCAAAGCCUAAGACAUGACAGUCGGCAUGUUAAUAGGAAGCGUGCAUUAGAAGAAGACAGGGCAGGGCGUGAGGGAAGGCCAUGCGAAACACAUCUAAGCGAUGAACCCCCAGCCCUGUGUCCGAGGACGGGGGACACCGUUCUUCUCCGCUACCGUUGCAUGCAGGUGCAUGCAGGUUACCUGAUGUCAAAUAUUCCUUACCACGCAGAAGGAAGGCAGCCACGUCGGAAUUGAAACGCGGGAAUAUUCCUCAAUCCCCCAGCUUUUGUGGUAACACAAAGCGCAAUAUCAUUUUAGCAAUGCCACACCCUGCCACCACGCGCUCGACUCCUUGACUAUUCCUUAGUUUUCAAUUUCGGGGGUUUGGAAGUCAUCUUUCCUCUCAUGAACGACAUCCAUCCACCACACCAUAGUCUCUCACCGCUUGGGCCAACGACAUGCCGGGGUGAUUCUGGCGCAAGGCCUCCAACGCCGGCGGUGCGGUCUUAUGUCCCAUCAUGAAAUUGCCAGUGCCAGUGCCGGUGCCAGUGCCGCCAUCUCGCGCCAGGGGCGACCGACGUUCUGGCGACAGGUGGCCCUGAGGCGCAUGGCUGGCAGCCGCCGGCGACUGUGAGGCCGCCGGCGCCAGGUAGUCCUUCGCGGGCCCUAUGCCGUCCCGCGUCGCAAUCAGGGAGGACACGUCAAUCGAAGCAGACCGCUUGUGGCGAUUGGACGACGGCGGCGCUGACAUGGGCCCUGGAGGAGCCCCUGGCCCUGCCACAGCCGCAAGACUCCCCUGAAGUGGCCACCCACGGUUUAGAUAAAAGGGUUAGAUAGGGUCAAAUAGGACGGGUGAGCUACAUGAAGCACGGCGGCUUCUGUGCAACGAAGGCAGCUUCAGCGGGGAACGCGGACGCCGAACGGACAAAAAACGGUAUUAAUUGCGCUCCUGUCGGCGCUACGGAACCCCUGGCGGGGCGCUGAACGGUACAGUUCACACGCGGCCGCUGAACAGCGGGAAGACGAUUUCAGCAUCAGACCUACCCGCCUGCGCCCUAACGAAUGCCGUGAAUGCGAAAUUACCACUUCUUGUAACGUAGGUCAAACAAGUGGUCAGACCCGAAGAAACCCAUCCGAACAACCUGCUGUCUAUCUGACGUGCUGUUCGAGCCCGACGCCGCCUCGGCCCAUAGGUUCGCGUGCCCUCCCGCCGUGAAGCCAUGGGCUGACGGAGACACAGAUACUCCUCCAGUUGCUGUGGAGGAGUAUCUGCUGUUGCUGCUGCUGUUGCUGUUGCUGCUGUUGCUGCUGCUGCUGUUGCUGCUGCUGCGACGCCGUGUGUACGAACGCGGCCUGCCCACCGCUACCCGCCCCGUGACUGACGGCUGCGUUGCGGAAGAGUGCGGCAGCCUGCGGUGCAACACUGCCUGGAUGUGGCGGCAAGCUGCCAGCGCCGCCGCCAACACCGGCCAUAGCGACAGCUGAGAUUUGUUGUUGUUGAUGUUGCUGCUGCUGCUGAGGCUGCGGAGGCGGUGCUAGCAUGGUGGGAUGCUGUGCAGAGUAGGCGUGGGUGUUUGUCGGCGACAUGCCGGCAGCCGCAAGAGUGGCGGGGGCCAGCCCCGUCACUUGAGUGAAUAGCGCCACUUGCUGUCUUAAGAGCUCCAACUCCCUUUGGAGCUGCAAAUUCUGCUGCAACAAGUCAGAGGUUGGGUCGGCGGCAAUCCGCUGCAGCGGCGCCGGUGGCGGCGGCGCGGUGGCUGCGGCACCGCCGCCGUACAACACAAACGGUGUUGCACGUGCGUCCACGGCAGCACCGCCGCCGACACCCCCGCUGUUACCGCGUUGGCUGACGCCGUCACCGUCCCUCGAGUUUACGUCAAUGCUGUCGUACGACGCAUGGCGGGAAUGUCCACGCGAACCUCGUGAGCCGCCCGAAUGCAAGCCUGGCCCAACGGGCAUGUUCACAGCAGCAGCAUGGGGCCCAGCGACGGCGACGGCGGCGUUGGCGACCGCUGCCGCUGCGCCGUCGGAGUGCAUGCCGUACGCACGCAUGGCGCCGUGACCGCUUGCAACUCCCCCAACUGCUAUUGGCAGCGGUGGAGCCCACAUGGAAGCGCUGCUCUCCCUGCUGCGUCCCGUGCUGUUGCCAGGACCGGAAGGGCCGGGCCCGGGGCCGCCAGCCGCCAUCGCCGCUACCUGCGCCCUGGCCAUAGGCUCCUGAGUCGUCAGAAUCGGCCCUAGGGAGGUAUGCCACGCUUGUGGCUGUUGGGGCUGCUGCGGCGGCGGCAAAGUGCUAGCUUGCAUAGUUGUGAGCUGCUGGUGUUGAGGCUGGAGUGGAUGUUGAUGCUGCUGGAGUUGGUACUGGUGUUGAUAUUGGGGCUGGUGUUGAGGUUGGGGCUGGUACUGCUGCUGCGGGGGCGACAUUGUGUGGUGAGCGGCGAAAGGCAGCUGCUGCUGCUGUGGCGCCGGUGGUGAGAUGGGCGGCAGCGCCUCAGAAAUUGUGUAGGGCAGCUGCACACCAUGAGGCAUGCCUGCAAGCGAGGGAGCCACCAUAGACUUACGGCCGUCUCCGGUAGCGCCACCAGCAGCGAGCAGGGCAUUCGAGUAAGGACAGACAGCAGAACCGCAGGGGUUUCCCCAAGAUGCGCGAUUCGUACAGAGCAAGCAAAGAAGAAAACCACGUCAGCGAAAUAGCCGGCCCCGUGUUCCUAAUCCAACCAGAGAUAAUCAAAAAAGCAAAAGCCAGCGCAUAAGACGGCAAGGGGUAGAGCUUUGCUGUGACCUACAGGCCACAAGCGUUGGAGAUCCCAAAAGCCUCCCCCGGUAUCGCCACCCAUUUGGGACGAUCACCUAGCGCAGCCUUGACGAGAGCCAACCCAGAUGCAUCCCUCACUCAUCCAGCUCGCCCAACUCAUAUCCCCCCUCUUGCUCGCGCGCGGAUUUCAUGUCCUCCUUGGACGCGACGCCUUUAAGUGCCAGGCCUUAAAGGCCUUUGGAGUAGAAGCCCUGGCGUGUGUAACGCCGCGUCCCGAGGAGGAUAUGGAUCCCGCGUACCCAGAAGCCUGCCAUGUUAAUGCCAUGAAGUUCUCAAGUGGCAGCUCCGAAACCACCCUGUGGCCCGAAGAAUCCUUACCAGGGCUUGUUGUGACGAUUCCCGAGGGUGAGAGCUCGCUGCUGACGCUGGCCUCAGCAGUGUAGGAGGAAUCCAUGGUGGAGACAGAUGACCCCACGGCCUCGGCCAGCCUGUCGUCCCGUGCGGCAGCGAUUACUGCCCCACUGCCAGGCGUCUGCUGCGCAAGCCUGCUUAGUCGUGGCGGCAACGCUGCUGGCCCCGUUGGCGACUUCAUCUGAGAGGGAGAGAAAAAGGCGAGAGCCAAGAGCAACAUACAAUGAAACCCCGUCGACGUAUUCUGCAUGCGCAUGCUCGACAGCACACGCCAUGCACAUGCAGACGCAAGCAGGAUAUCAGAUAACCGUUAAUGUGACGGCGCUCGAUCAAGCAAAGAUCACGCUGAUAAAAAAAGGAUCUUCUUCAGCGUGCAAAACAAACUACACCUGUGUUACACUUUUAUAUCUAAAUACUUGAACAAGACAAUUGAGCACCUGACUUGAGUCCACCGUGCGCCUCACUUGCAACAUGAGGACAAAGUGCAUACACGGUACUUUGGCCGUGGGGCAACAAGUCGCCCUUACGGCACAGAAGCCAACGCGGUCUUGCCCCCAGGGCUGUCUUUACCUGUGCCACCAUGAGAGAGAUUCCGGCGAUGUCGCGGCUAUCCAGGUCGUACACGUGAGGGUGCGGAACACCGCCGACGCCACCGAUGGUGCCAGCCGUGUUGGUCGCCAUGGCAGUGUAUGGAGGAAGCUGGUGAGCCGUGGCCAUCGGAUGAUGUGCAUGGCGGGAGGAAGGACUUGGGGUUCCAAGCGACUCCUCGCUCUGUGGGGUCCGGGGUUGACAGCCGAGUCAGUCGUAAUGAGGCCACUCGGUCGUAACCACAGCCACUGCACUAUUUUACUCUUCCCACCCAAGUCAAGGGUGUACCAGCAGCGCUGAUGGACAACUUUCCGAGGACACAGACCGAAAGUUCCCAGCGGAAAUUCAUCCUCCUCAGCCACAGUGGCAAAUUCAAGCAGGUGCUGCCGAGCCUUUGCUGCUGCCUCCACAAACACCUUGUGGCUGCGAUACUGACACGGAGUGAAGUAAUGCAUUACAGCUGCGUCCAGGUGGGCCCACAUCCUCUCUUCCAGCUUGGGCAAAAUGCCCAUGAAGAUGUGGGAUGAGAACACCAGCAUGAAGUGCAGAUAGUCCUCCAUCCGCCAUGAGUCCCUGCCAAAGCACACCUCUUAGUCCCUUGGCUGUGUGGGAGGCGAACAAGCCACCAGGGACUGACGGAGGGAAAGUCCAAAGCAAAACCUAAAACAACACUCCCGCCUCCUCAUAACCCUCUUCCCCCCCUACAACCCCCCCUCCCCCCUCCCCUCCCCUGCCCCUCCCCGUCCCUUCGUUUCUUUUGCUUAUUAUUAUGCCAGGCUACCGCUACCCGCCGUCGCAACUUCCACCAUCACCGUCACCGCCGUCGCCCCUGCCGCUUUCAACCCGACGUCACCCCUUCCAACAUCACCGUCACCGCCGUCGCCCCUCCAACAGCUGCCAACCCCACCGGUGCCUGAGCCAUCGUCACCAACCCUGCCGUCAACCGAGCCACCCGCCGUUGCUCCUUCUACCAUCACCAUGCCCGGNNNNNNNNNNNNNNNNNNNNNNNNNNNNNNNNNNNNNNNNNNNNNNNNNNGAGAGAGAGAGAGAGAGAGAGAGAGAGAGAGAGAGAGAGAGAGAGAGAGAGAGAGAGAGAGAGAGAGAGAGGGAGAGAGAGGGAGAGAGAGAGGGAGAGAGAGAGGGAGAGAGGGGGAGAGAGAGGGAGAGAGAGAGGGAGAGAGAGGGAGAGAGAGAGGCGAUAUUCAAGAACUAAAUACUUGAACAAGACAAUUGAGCACCUGACUUAGAUUCCAGCGUGCGCCUCACUUGCAAUAUGAGGACAAUUGCAUACACGGUACUUUCGCCGUGGGGCAACAAAUCGCCCUUACGGCACAGAAGCCAACGCGGUCUUGCCCCCAGGGCUAUUUUUACCUGUGCCACCAUGAGGGAGAUUCCGGCGAUGUCGCGGCUAUCCAGGUCGUACACGUGAGGAUGCGGAACACCGCCGACGCCACCGAUGGUGCCAGCCGUGUUGGUCGCCAUGGCAGUGUAUGGAGGAAGCUGGUGAGCCGUGGCCAUCGGAUGAUGUGCAUGGCAGGAGGAAGGACUUGGGGUUCCAAGCGACUCCUCGCUCUGUGGGGUCCGGGGUUGACAGCCGAGUCGGUCGUAAUGAGGCCACUCGGUCGUAACCACAGCCACUGCAAUAUUCUACUCUUCCCACCCAAGUCAAGGAUGUACCAGCAGCGCUGAUGGACAACUUUCCAAGGACACAGACCGAAAGUUCCCAGCGGAAAUUCAUCCUCCUCAGCCACAGUGGCAAAUUCAAGCAGGUGCUGCCGAGCCUUUGCUGCUGCCUCCACAAACGCCUUGUGGCUGCGAUACUGACACGGAGUGAAGUAAUGCAUUACAGCGGCGUCCAGGUGGGCCCACAUCCUCUCUUCCAGCUUGGGCAAAAUGCCCAUGAAGAUGUGGGAUGAGAACACCAGCAUGAAGUGCAGAUAGUCCUCCAUCCGCCAUGAGUCCCUGCCAAAGCACACCUCUUAGUCCCUUGGCUGUGUGGGAGGUGAACAAGCCACCAGGGACUUACGGAGGGAAAGUCCAAAGCAAAACCUAAAACAACACUCCCGCCUCCUCAUAACCCUCUCCUCCCCCCCUACAACCCCNNNNNNNNNNNNNNNNNNNNNNNNNNNNNNNNNNNNNNNNNNNNNNNNNNUGUACUUAUGUCUUUGCGUCUAUUAUGGCGCAGGACAGAGCACUUUACAGUUCAAUAUGCCAGAGCAUCAUCCCUUCCUGCCUGGGUGUUAUUGGCAUGUGGCAAAGCACACAUUACCUCGGACAUGCACCUGGACCUGCUACCAACACACAUGUGCUUCAGGCAUAUGGAACAACAAACUAGGUGGAUAGAGCACAUCCAAUAAUCAAGGCAAUGCUGAGAAGCCAGCGGCCCACCGUACAAUGCUACAAAACAUGCAUGUUUUUGUGCACCAGUCGAGGAUAAACUCGAGUCUAGUCUGCGGCAAAGGACCCAUAUAUGCAACCACGACACCACUGGUGCUCCCUCAGACAAACCUAUUACGGGCACCAGAGAGGCAUACCCAUAUACCUAGGUAUAUAGAACACGUGAUUCUGUGCACAUUGUAUGUCUGCAUGUGUGUAACUCUUGAUAUAGUUGUGUGCAGUGGUGCUCACUCGAGCAGUUCCCGUGUCUUACAGAGCACCAGUGGUAUAGUGGUAGCAUAGGUCCUUGCCACGGACCAGACCCGAGUUCGAUUCCCGGCUGGUGCAGCAGUGACUCGCAUGUUUUGAAGCAUUCUACGGUGAACCACAGGCAUCUCACUGCCUUCAUUUGUGCAUGCACGCCCCCAUGCAUGUGCACGAUCCUCCAUACCUACUUCGAAUUUGUUGUCCCACAUGCCCGAAGCGCGUGUGUGCUGGUUGCAGGUCCAGGUGUAUGUCCUGGGUAUUAGGUGCAUUGUUGCAUGCCAAUAACACCCAGGCAGGAAGGAAUGAAUGCUAUGGUGUAGUGAACUUUAAAGUGCUCUGUCCUGUGCAAAUAGAUGCAAAGGCACACGCACACAGCAGGGAGACAAGCAAACAAGUGAGGGACUGCAAAUAAAGUGCAAUACAGCAUAUGUGUAUGCAUGUAUAUGUGUACAUAUGUCAUCCAUCGUCAUGCGUGUACACGGCUGGCCACAAACAGGAUUACAUAUGCCAGGUUUUCUUAUUAGUGCACUCUGUGAGUGCAGUAGUGCAAGUACAGCUCUCCAUCCAUCAUAACCGACCUUAGCUUGCAUUCAAAGGUGCUAGCACCAAAUCCAUAGCUCCAUGAUUAAGAGAUUUGUAGGGAGCACCAUACACUCGUUGGAUUAGAAUACAUGUAUCCAGCAGACACACACACACACACACACACACACACACAUAAACACAUAAACACAUGUGUCUAGGUGCAUGUACAUGCACAAACAUUUGGACAUGCACAUACCAUGUGUAUGUGUAUGUCGCCGACCUAUUGCAGCGGCUUGCAAUUGUUUUCUCGAGGAGGUCUUGGACAUCACAGACUGGGUACAUCACACGCAGGCGCAUCGAGCCCAGGGGAGCGGGAGAUCCUCUAGAGGAUCUCAAGAUCCAUGCUGAGCACCACCGUAAUGGCUUCUGACCAUCCAUGGGCCCCCUUGGCUCCCAGAGGUGGUCCCCAUCCUUGUGCUCACUUUUAUGUAUAUGUUACAUUCUGGACAACAUUGAAGUCCAAGGGGGGGAGUUGUAAAAGUUUAUCAUUGUGAUUAAGGUCCUGAUUAAGGUCCUGGGUUCGAUUCCUGGGGAGACCCCCGAAUUAGUCGGGAGCGCGAUAUUAUGGCUAGCUGCUGAGAUGUGGAGUUGAGGUCACAGUUGAUGGACCAGAUUCGCACGCUGGAUUGGUGGCGAUUGCCGAACCCUCCGUCUCAUCGGGUGUUCGGGUGAAUGGAUGAGGAGGGGUCCCUGAAGGCUGGAUCCGCCGCCUUGGACUUACAGUUCGUAUGGCGAAGUACAGUGUGGUAGUGGUGGAUGGUGCUGUAAGGUGAUAAAUGAUCUAGAACUGACAAUGUGAUAAAGCGGCCCAGAAGCCUCCCACUCUGUAACAUUACAUUUGUAACAUUACAUCAUUGUGAUAGAGGAUUGGUGGUUGUGAUGUCGCAGGCUCAAUUCCCACUCAGCACAUUAUGAUGACACUUCAAAUCCAUGGGAUGAACCUUGGUGUCAUUGAAUCCAAGCCAAAACAGAGUACAACUUGUACAGUACAAGACAUGUGCCAGAGCAUAUCUGAAGUGGGCUCCAGGAAAGAAGGGAUGGUAGACAACGCCAAAAUCACAUGCUCAAAGUCGGUUUCAGAACAGACAGGCAAUACAUAUAGGGAUUCAAAAACUCUACACAUCUCUAGAUAGGGGCUGCAUACACAUAUAUAACAUAACACAAUUCUGAAGAUAAUUAGCUGUCCUCGACACUUUCAUCCCUUAUUGCAUGUUGGGCGAUAAUCAUGGCCAUUAUUAUUGUUACAUUAUGCCAUAGGUUCAUCCUUAGGGCAAAGGCUCUACUCGGUUUGGUUGGAGCUGCUUGUCGGGCAUCCACGAUCCACGAGUUGUGGCGAGAGUUGAAGGUAGGUGUGCACAUGAGAAUCGAGAUGGCGCAGCGGAAGCGUGCGGGGCUCAUAACCCCGNNNNNNNNNNNNNNNNNNNNNNNNNNNNNNNNNNNNNNNNNNNNNNNNNNNNNNNNNNNNNNNNNNNNNNNNNNNNNNNNNNNNNCACCCUAGCCACCCGCCGUUGCUCCUUCUACCAUCACCAUGCCCGGCGCCGUCCCUGCCGCCGUCGGCAUAUGCAUCCCCGCCGUUGCCCGAGCUACCGUCGCCAUAUGCAUCCCUGCCGUCACCGCUGCCGCCAUCACCUCUGCCACCGUCGCCAACCCCGCCAUCGCCCUAGCAACCCGACGUCACCCCUUCCAACAUCACCGUCACCGCCGUCGCCCCUCCAACAGCUGCCAACCCCACCGGUGCCUGAGCCAUCGUCACCAACCCUGCCGUCACCCUAGCCACCCGCCGUUGCUCCUUCUACCAUCACCAUGCCCGGCGCCGUCCCUGCCGCCGUCGGCAUAUGCAUCCCCGCCGUUGCCCGAGCUACCGUCGCCAUAUGCAUCCCUGCCAUCACCGCUGCCGCCAUCACCUCUGCCACCGUCGCCAACCCCGCCAUCGCCCUAGCAACCCGACGUCACCCCUUCCAACAUGACCGUCACCGCCGUCGCCCCUCCAACAGCUGCCAACCCCACCGGUGCCUGAGCCAUCGUCACCAACCCUGCCGUCACCCUAGCCACCCGCCGUUGCUCCUUCUACCAUCACCAUCCACGGCGCCGGCCCUGCCGCCGUCGCCGUAUGCAUCUCCGCCGUUGCCCGAGCUACCGUCGCAGUAUGCAUCCUGCCGUCACCGCUGCCGCCACAACCUCUGCCACCGUCGCCAACCCCGCCAUCGCCCUAGCAACCCGACGUCACCCCUUCCAACAUCACCGUCACCGCCGUCGCCCCUCCAACAGCUGCCAACCCCACCGGUGCCUGAGCUACCGUCACCAACCCUGCCGUCACCCUAGCUAUCCGCCGUUGCCCCAUCUACCAUCACUUUCCCCGGCGCCGUCCCUGCCGCCGUCGCCGUAUGCAUCCCCGCUGUUGCCCGAGCUGCCGUCGCCAUCCCAGCCAUCACCAAAAGCACCGUCGCCCCUGACGCCAUCAACCCUGCCACCUUCGCCAUCCCCGGCGUCACCCCUGCCACCGUCACUAUCCCCGCCGUCGGCCCUGCCACCGUCACCAAGCUCGCCCUCGCCUUAGUACCCCGCCGUCUCCCCUUCCACCAUCACCGUCACCGCCGUCGUCCCAUCCACCGUCGCAAUCCCCGCCGUCGCCCCUGACACCGUCACCAACCCUGCCGUCACCCUAGCCACCAGCCGUUGCUCCUUCUACCAUCACCAUCCCCGGCGCCGUCCCUGCCGCCAUCGGCAUAUGCAUCCCCGCCGUUGCCCGAGCUACCGUCGCCAUAUGUAUCCCUGCCGUCACCGCUGCCGCCAUCACCUCUGCCACCGUCGCCAUCACCCAAAGUACCGUCGCCCCUGCCACCAUCGCCAACCCAACCGUCACCCGAGCCACCGUCACGAAACCCGCCAUCACCCCAUCCACCGUCGCCAUACCCGCUUCCACCGUCGUCAUCCCUGACGUCUCCCCUGCCACCGUCACCAACCCCGCCAUCGCCCUAGCCACCGGCCGUCGCCCCUUCACCGCCCCUUCCACCGCCGCCGUCGCCGUUGCCCGAGCAACCGUCGCCAUCCCAGCCAUCACCCAAAGCACCGUCGCCCCUGACGCCAUCACCCCUGCCACCGUCGCCAUCUCCGCCGUCACCCCUGCCACCGUCACUAUCCCCGCCGUCGGCCCUGCCACCGUCACCAUCCCCGCCUUCGCCCCUGCCACCGUCACCAACCCCGCCAUCGCCCUAGCCACCCGCCGUCGCCCCUUCCAACAUCACCGUCCCCGCCAUCGCCCCUGCCACCGUCGCCCCUGCCACCGUCACCCGAGCCACCAUCACCGCCAUCCCCGUCACCUCCCCACUACCGUCACCUAACCCUCGCUUGAUCUCUCUACCCCCCACCCCCCUCUCCUGUCUUCCUCGCUCCUUCAUUGUGCGUUCACGUAAUCCGAUGAUGCAAAGGAGGAUAGACAUUUCUAUAUAUAUCCCUUAUGGACUACGGUCUCACCUGUUAGGUUGUCGGGGCUCCACUGCAUUUGUUUGGCCCUUCGGCGGACUCCACUCCAUGUCCACCGCCACUGGAGACGGGGCGCCUACACUGACAGGGGGGACAUAGCUUCUAGUCGCUGAUGCUCUACAUGUGACGCGUCUGCUAGUUUCGUUUAUUGUACCUGUUUGAUCGAGUUGGUUAGCUUGAGCCAACCAACUACCGAAGGGCCCGCCGCAACUGGAGCUUGUUGCUUCUGAGGAGAUGCAUCUGCAUCAUAUUGGACGUCGCAUAGUACCUGGCAUAGUGUUGCAGCAAUGUCUCACUACCUCCAGCGAGCCGCAGCCUCUUUUCCAUUAUGGACGCACUGCUGCCUGAUGAUAUGAUUAUAUGCGUGAUACUUGCUAUGAAAUUGCGUCUGCAGGACGCGCACGAAAUUUCAAAUUGGGAGAUCGCAUACAGUCGGCCGUCGCAGCGGUAACUGGAGGGGCCAUCUUUAUUAGAUAUUAUUACAUCUUCAACAGCCAGCAAGACUAGUGAACAGAUGCUGUGUGGAUUUGUGCAAAGUCGUGUUCUCACGAAAACCAGUGCUGACAUGACAAUGUCAGAAGGCUUCUAUAAAGGAGUCCGACCACUUCAGCCAAACCCCUUCGAUAUGUUCUGAAGGCCCCUCAGCCCUUCAUUUUGGGAUGACCUCAGAAUGAACGAAAAUUUACGUUUGGAGGAUGCAUACAGUCAUAAGUAAGUAAAACAAUCCCUGGCAUGACGAUAUUAGGAGGCUUUUGCAUGCAAAGUGCCCACCUCAGCCGAACUCCUUCGAUGUGUCCUGAAGGCCCCUCAGCCCUUAUUCCGAAAUGAGCACGGAAUGAACAAAAGACGAACUCCCAACGAAGGUAUUCCCGGGAAAUCGAAGGGAGACCGGUUCCCAGAGUGCGGGGUCCACUGUANNNNNNNNNNNNNNNNNNNNNNNNNNNNNNNNNNNNNNNNNNNNNNNNNNNNNNNNNNNNNNNNNNNNNNNNNNNNNNNNNNNNNNNNNNNNNNNNNNNNNNNNNNNNNNNNNNNNNNNNNNNNNNNNNNNNNCCACCGUCACCAACCCCGCCAUCGCCCUAGCCACCGGCCGUCGCCCCUUCACCGCCCCUUCCACCGCCGCCGUCGCCGUUGCCCGAGCAACCGUCGCCAUCCCAGCCAUCACCCAAAGCACCGUCGCCCCUGACGCCAUCACCCCUGCCACCGUCGCCAUCUCCGCCGUCACCCCUGCCACCGUCACUAUCCCCGCCGUCGGCCCUGCCACCGUCACCAUCCCCGCCUUCGCCCCUGCCACGGUCACCAACCCCGCCAUCGCCCUAGCCACCCGCCGUCGCCCCUUCCAACAUCACCGUCCCCGCCAUCGCCCCUGCCACCGUCGCCCCUGCCACCGUCACCCGAGCCACCAUCACCGCCAUCCCCGUCACCUCCCCACUACCGUCACCUAACCCUCGCUUGAUCUCUCUACCCCCCACCCCCCUCUCCUGUCUUCCUCGCUCCUUCAUUGUGCGUUCACGUAAUCCGAUGAUGCAAAGGAGGAUAGACAUUUCUAUAUAUAUCCCUUAUGGACUACGGUCUCACCUGUUAGGUUGUCGGGGCUCCACUGCAUUUGUUUGGCCCUUCGGCGGACUCCACUCCAUGUCCACCGCCACUGGAGACGGGGCGCCUACACUGACAGGGGGGACAUAGCUUCUAGUCGCUGAUGCUCUACAUGUGACGCGUCUGCUAGUUUCGUUUAUUGUACCUGUUUGAUCGAGUUGGUUAGCUUGAGCCAACCAACUACCGAAGGGCCCGCCGCAACUGGAGCUUGUUGCUUCUGAGGAGAUGCAUCUGCAUCAUAUUGGACGUCGCAUAGUACCUGGCAUAGUGUUGCAGCAAUGUCUCACUACCUCCAGCGAGCCGCAGCCUCUUUUCCAUUAUGGACGCACUGCUGCCUGAUGAUAUGAUUAUAUGCGUGAUACUUGCUAUNNNNNNNNNNNNNNNNNNNNNNNNNNNNNNNNNNNNNNNNNNNNNNNNNNNCCUGUAACAACCGCAUUCUGCUUCGGGCUGCGAGGUGAGGGGAAGUCAAACUCGAAAGCCAUGGAAAGCUAUCUUCGCGCUCUAAUUUAUCUGAAUUUUCUCCUUUGGCCAAUCGAUAAAGAGUUGAUGUAGCUUUUGAACGUAACUUUAUCGAGCAAGACAUGACAGACAGACUGACUGAUUGCAGCAGUGAACACCGGGGGCAUGGCCCCCGGCGCGAAGCGCCAUUCGGGGGGCCUCACCCCAAAAAGACUGCCGAAACUCUGGUAGCCUGUGCGGGCCACAGCAUGCGCAGGGCUAGAAGACUCUGCCACAAUCGCACGCGACGAGCUUGUCCAAAUGUCACGGAGCUUUACAGGAUAAGUGUCUCGAAACCUGGGCUCGCUCAGUCGCAAAUGCCGCAAACUUCCCGAAUGAAAUUCGAUUACACUAAGACAUUCGUCUAGUGUGUUGUGAUCGUUGUGUUCCACUCUCGCCACCCAGGCAUCAUGACCCAGCAGGUCAGUGUCAGUGCUCUUGUUGGCGCUGCGGAUAACCACCCUGAAAGUGGGGAGGGGGGAGAAGAUGGGGGAGGAGAUGGGGGAAGAAGGAGGUGAUUUUUUCCCAACUCGACUCUUUCAAGAGCCCCAGGUUGGACACUGGUUUGUUUCUUGGCGCCAAUUAGUUUGAGAAGCCAUGAGUCGUCGCUGUCAAUGUAACUAAGAGAUUCAGUUUGAUUGUCCGACAAUUUCACAAUGUUGAUAAGCGGAUAUGUAAAAAUGCGUAUAGAUCUAAAGGAGUUUCAGUGCGCGGGCGCACGGGCCGCCUUGCGGUUUCAACCAGCAAAAAAUAUAAAGAACGUUUUGAUGUAGUCUUUGCGAUUCCGAAUUGAGCCAGCUCACCCUUUGUGUGUCAUCUGAGUUGGUUGCACUUGCAUGUUGCAUCGCACAAGCAGCUGUGGUGGCGCCCUUUCAGAUUCGCUUCAGCGGGUCGCCAGCAUUCCAUGAAACGUAUUAAAAUCCUAAGGAAAAAUUGUUUUGUGCUGUCAAAUGGAAGGCGGUACUAACGGUCAGCUCCAGGGUUGGAAACAAUUUCCGGCUUGACUCCCGAAAUUUCUUUCUGGUCAGAGCUUGCAAUUGCAACGAGCAGAACACGAACUUCAACCUUUAGCUGUGUUAAUUUCGCGUUCACCUAGUACUUGGGCUCGACGCAGAUAAAGCAGAACCUGCGAGACGCUAUGACGCCAGAUGAGUGGAGGAAGCUUAUGUGUGCUGCUGUUGCAGACGCUGGCCUGGGUUCUGUUGGGCUGGACGAAGAUGACAUAGAUAAGCUCUGGGCAGCGAAGUACAACACCGCUGACCGUUUGCGGACUGCCAGACGGGAAGGGCUCGUCGACGCGCGUCUGGCGCCUGGCGUGGUGGAUGCUAUUAUAGGUAAAUCCUAAGCGCGAUUCCUUCUCAACUCAUACCUUGCCGAAGAGUCCGCGUUGCGUGUGCUCCGGCUACUAUUGGUCGCUCUCAAUUUGAAGACAAAACCAACUUAAGCAACCUGUGUGCGCACACAUUGAACGGGGUUGGCCAUUAGGCUGGUUGUUUUUUGGGGUACAUCUGAGGCUGCGGCGCAGACCCUGCCAAAUAGCGUGUCGGGAAAAUAUUUUGCAUUAGGGAUUGCUUCUGUCCUAUACCUGGUAUCGUAACCAAAACACGCAUAACGAGGGCUUGCCGUGACGGUUGAUCUGCUUCAAUGAUGAAGACACCUAAAGUCACAGCCGCUUUGGAACGGGCGUUAUCUAUUGUAUGAAGCUAGCAUUGGUGUCUUAUCUCUCAACAUGAAUGACCUCUGAGCACACCUUCAUCUCCAGCAGCCUACCGCCCUGAAAGCAGCAAUCAGCAGCUCAAUUAGGCAUCGGUGAACUUGAGGAGCAUGGUGUAUUGUAUGGUCCUCGGAACGUUUAGAUCUCUUACUGUUGGCAAGCUGUAUGGAACCUAUGAACACGUUCCGUUGAACAAGUAUUGAUGUCAAUGGUGCAUCCCUAUCGUUUCUCCUUAAUGUGCAGCUGCGGCUACGGCUGGCUCUGGCGUUGUUGCUGGUGAGUGUGACAUGAUUUUGCUUUGCUUCAGUAAGUUGCCCAUGCCUGCAGCGUGCUUGUGACAUAAGGUUGGAGCAGCGUGGUCUGCACUUCCUGUUACAAGCAACUAAGAAAUGCGGCUUCCCGCCACCAUAUGAAGGAACCAAAUCACGAUUCCAUAAGUAUGACAAAUAUCCCUUAAGGACAACAGUAGAGAGGUCUGACAGAUGAACGUCUAAUUCACUACACUCCCCCAAAAACAAUCAUUGGGUGUUUCUGGUGAAGCACCUGGCCGUGUUUAUUGUGGCUUUGUAGGGUGACCGGCCGUACAUCGCGGUAGCGGCUUGGUAGUGCGCAGUCUGCAGCAUAGGAGCACCGGCGUGCGUGUGUAUGUGGAAGUGUUACGUGGGUGGGUGGAAGUCAGCGGUGUGGAUAUGGACAGCUUGUUCAGACGGCUGGGUGCACAUCACAUUGCACCCCAGCACUCUCUACGACACAAGUCACACACAGAUCAUCUAAACUGGGGGUUCAGCAGUCCGUUGACAAGUCUUCACCAAUAGUGCUACCUGAUGCGGCUAAGAUGUUAAGAUAUAGGCGAGUGGAACCGUGUAGGUAAAGCCAACCUUAACCGUUACCAACCUUAACCGUUACAGGUAUCACAGAACAAGCUUUCAGUCAGAACAUGAUCUCCAUUAUACCAAACAUCCCAUCUUAUCUGUCGUACAGCCGUUAGUGUUCUGGCCGGAAUUCAACACUCCCCCUCGGACGGAACACUCGGGCGAAUCCAACUCAACGAACACCCAGCCCUUCUUGAAACUGCACGAACUUCCCUUCCGGUAACGGCUUCGUGAGGAUAUCCGCUACCAUGCUGGUAGUGGGACAGUACUCAAACUUCACCUGCCCCAUAGAUACCCUCUCACGCACAAAGUGAUGGAUUACAUCGAUGUGCUUCGCGCGUUCCGAAACAAUCGGAUUCUUUAUCAGACUUAAUGCUCCCUGGUUGUCACCCCAGAUACGCAUCACGUCGAUCUCACACCCAAACUCGGGCAGAAGUUUCCUCAGCCAGAGCGCUUCGCGAGUAGCUAAGGACGCCGCCAUAUACUCCGCCUCCACAGUCGAUGCUGCUACAGUCGGUUGCAACCGACUCUUCCAGCUGACGGCUCCACCACCAAGGAUAAAGGCAUAUCCAGUUGUCGAACGGCGGUUGUCUCGGUCCACUGCCCAGUCCGCAUCGGCAUAACCCUCAAUUGCCUUGCUGUCCCUGGCAAAACAUAAACCGAAACUCGCAGUCCCCUUCAGAUAUCUCAGGAUAUCCUUAGCAGCCUCCCAGUGAGCCUUCGCCGGCUCAGACAUAUACCGCGCCAACUUAAACACAGCAUGCGCGAUAUCAGGACGCGUGCACACCGCCAGAUACAUCAAACCACCAAUUAACUCCCGGUAGCGCGUUGCAUCCAACAAUACCUGAUCGAUAUCACUAGUGCGGCUCAAAACUAGACUUGGCGUCAUAGGAACCGACUUAGGAACUGCAUCCUCCAUCCCGAACUUGGCCAACAAUUCGGCCGUAUAUCGCUGCUGCGAGAUUUUGACCUCGCCUAGCUCCUUGCUCCGAUUGAUCUCCAUACCCAAAAAGAACGACACCUCCCCCAAAUCACGGAGGUCAAACUCAGCCUUCAACUCUUGCUUUAUACGGGCUAUUUCCUCGCUUUUGUUGCUCACGACUAGCAAGUCGUCUACAUGAGCGUAUAGCCACACAACAAAUGACUGUUCUUCCAGCGUAAAGAAGCUGGGAUCCGCAUCAGAAACCUUAAAACCAAUGGCCUCGAGCGUUUCCCGCAACUUCUGGUGCCAAGCUCUGCCUGCCUGGCGUAAACCGUACAACGCUUUCCGCAACAGACACUUCAUACCUGCGCCACCCGUUUCAAAACCAGGCGGUUGGUCACAAUAAAUAACCUCCUCCAGCGUCCCGUUGAGGAACGCAGUGCGCACGUCUAGGUGGUGUACCUCAAAUCCUUCAGCCGCGGCCUUCGCCAAGAAUGUACGCAACGUCACCUGAUUGCUACCAGGCGCGAAAACCUCGUUGAAGUCAACUCCUUCCUUCUGUUUAUAGCCCUUAGCUACCAACCGGGCUUUGUAUCGUUCCACUUGUCCGUCUACACCCCGCUUCACAUCAUACACCCACUUCACCGGAAUCGGUUUCACCCCAGGCGGCGGUACCUUCAGCUCCCACGUAUCUAAUGCGUGGAUAGAUCCGAUUUCUUCAGCCAUCGCCUCCUGCCAUUUGUCCCGUUCCGGAGAGGCCAUCGCCUCUUCGUAGGUGCUCGGGAUUUUGACGUCCGAUACAUUAACAGCAAGGUUGAGUCGUUGGGGCGGAUGACGGUCACGUUGGGGGUAACGAUGUUGUGUAGAGGCAGCUGCACCAGCCUUAUCCUCCCCCUCAGCUGCCUUACCGACAGCUUUAGGUUUCCCCUUAGUGGUCCCGCUGGUAGUCUUAGGCUUCCCUUUGGCGGAAUCGGCUGCACCGCCGGUAGCCGUGGGUUCCUCCUCAGGUGCCUCAGGUGCUGCGCCAACUACCAUAGGCUCCCCCUCAUUCAACUCAGCUGAAUCUCCAAUCGCCGCGUUCCCCUGACUAUCCUCUACGGCCUCACUCGGACUAAACUGCUCCCCCUGCCAGGGAGGGGCUACAGUCUUGCAACUACUGCUAGCCACAUCGUCCUCAUCAUCAGUAUCGCUUCCGCUGCCGCUGCUUUCGCUAUCAUCCGCAGGCAGCGUGCGGGACGUUGGUGUCUCCUCAAAAAGCACGCUCCUGCUCACUACGAUACGCUUAGACCCGUCUAAUAAAAUCCGGUAUCCUUUGCGCUCGUAGCCCACCAACACACCCUUCUGGCUCGUUGCAUCGAGCUUAUUGCGGUGCCUCCUCUCGACAUGCACCCACGCAGUACACCCAAACACGCGCAAAUCAGAGACAUCUGGCUUCACACGGUGGAAAACUUCAAAGGGCGUUAUCUGUUUGCCCGACACAGGCGAACAAUUAUACAGGGCACAUGCAGUGGUAAUAGCUUCGGCCCAUAAUUCAUGCGGCAAUCCUGAGUCUUGCAACAUCGCGCGGGUCUUCUCCAGGAGUGUGCGGUUCAGCCUCUCAGCGCGGCCAUUUUGCUCAGGAGUGUAAGGCACGGACGUGUCAUGCUGGAUCCCCUUACCCUUAAGGUACUGUCCUAGAGCCUUAUUCAAAUACUCCCCACCGCGAUCCGACUGAACUGCUAGCAGCUUCUUGCCCGAUUGGGUCUCUAACAGCUGCAAUACUUCCUGGGCCGCUUCCGGAACUUCCCCCUUCGUCCCUACACAGCGCACCACUGCAAAACUCGAAUGCUCAUCCAGAAACGUGGCGACAUACCUUGACCCGCCCAUAGACGGAACAGGCAUCUCACACACAUCCAUAUGCACUCGCUGCAAAACACGGUUUGCUGCAUUCCCAGACGGAGGAAAAGACGCGCGGGUAUGCUUGGCCUUCACACACGGCUCACAGAUACUCUUCUCCUUCACCUUCUCCCGGAUUUCAGCCGCGCUCAGGCCCAUACCAGUGACCAUUUCAUCAGACACGAGCUUCUCUAAAUUACCGUACCCUAUGUGUCCGAACCGACGAUGCCAAAGUCCCGCAGAUUCGGACAAGACCGCCAGGGUUUGAACGCACUCCCCCUGGCCCAACCGGGUCGCCUUUAGGUAGCAAUGGGUGCCUACUCGCACACACGGGAUUUGCUCCCCGUACUCCCACUCCAGGCUUGCGUACUUCCUCAUCCGCGGAGAAAGCAUUUUAGGGUGAACCGGGACUCGGCUGACAAGACGUUUCGGCUGCCUAACCACAGCAACCGGCCCACGAAAAUCCAACGUGGUAACCCUUCAGACCUAGUUCGCCUACCGAAAUCAGCUUGUGACCUAAUCCCGGCGCAUGAUACACAUUCUUUAGGGUAAUCUUAAUCUUGCCAUUCUCUCCCUCUGCUUCUAGCAGGACGGUACCCACUCCAACCGUCUUGCAAAUCGCACCCGCCACACCUUCUAGGACUAUGCCGUCCGUGAGCGGUACAUACUCGCUGAAGUCCGACCGGUCGUCCGUAACAUGGACGGCCGCUGCCGAGUCCAUUUUCCAAGCCAGCUUGGCGAGCGACUUCUCAGCUGUUGCCUGGAUUUCCGCGGCUUCGGAGGUAGUGGAGGUGGUUAGGGCCAUUACCAGCUGCUUGCUGCGUCGGUUGUUGCCCUUGUUGUUGCCCCUUGUGAUGAGCGGGCACUGAGACUUGAUAUGCCCAAGAACGCCACAUUUAUGGCACUUAUGGGUUGCAUAGGGGUUGAUGGAAACGUCAGGCCCGCCAGAGCUGGUACUCGCCCCGACGUUGAAAUUUCCCUGGCCUUUACCAGCUCCACUACGGUAGUCGCCACCGAAGCCACGGUGGCCUACCCCACUGCUCCGGUUGCUAAACGCCAGGGCCUCGGCCUGGGCCCACUCUGCGUUGUUGUCACCUUGCAUCCGCUCCGCCAGGAGCAGAGCGGACUUGAUUUCCGAAAGCUUCAUGUCGCUCGGCGGCUUGGCAGCAAAAAGCAUCUGCUGCAUUUGGAAUUUCUUAUGCAAACCACCCAAGAUGGCCAGGGCGAAUUGGCAGUCGUCGAUCUUCGAGCCCACUGCAACCAUUUGCUCACGCAGAUCCUCUGCUUCCUCGAAGUAAUCAACAACGGACUGGCCUGUGCGUUGCUUCAGGUUGCUAAAUUUCUGCUUUAUGAGCAAGAUGUUCGCUCCGAUCUCAGAGACGCAUUCGGCGCGGAUCGCAUCCCACGCUGCGGCAGAGUCGGCUGCUUGAUCGAUCAGCCUGUGAAAACGGGGCACCGUGUAUUUCACCAGCUGCGAUUUUGCCUUCAUGGACUUGUCGGCGACGGCGCUUGGCAGGUCUGCUGCCUCGUCCCACAAGUCCUUGCCGGCCAAACAGUAGUUCAUGGCCGUCCGCCAGCGAAAAUAGUUGGCGUAGCUAUCUAAACGCUCUACAUCAUUAUCCUUCCCCAUACUUGUCCUAUCUCUAAGCCAGAGAAUUGCUAAGCCAGCAAGUUCGGACACAGUACUUAAGCAAAACGCUCGCUCGCUUGCCGCGGCGGCGCAGGGCUCAUAACCUGUUAAGAUAUAGGCGAGUGGAACUGUGUAGGUAAAGCCAACCUUAACCGUUACAGGUAUCACAGAACAAGCUUUCAGUCAGAACAUCAUCUCCAUUAUACCAAACAUCCCAUCUUAUCUGUCGUACAGCCGUUAGUGUUCUGGCCGGAAUUCAACAAUGGAUGUACAUGUGACAGGUUCUCAUGAGCCUGCAACCUAGUUGCCGGCCCUCUCAGCAGCCGAGCUAGCUAGCAAAGUCAUUAUUUUGUUUGCUCUCAUACCAUAGAAAGUUCCCGUUUUUCAUCAUUUUGCUGCUUUCUUCCUGCAUCAUCACGAGCUGUCCAUUAUGCUGGUCUUCGUCUUUUUGUUUGUCUAUUUUAUUUCUUUGUUUUUGUUUUAAGAUCAUAUUUAGGAAGAAGUCAUUACAUUAACAUUUAGUUAUAGAGUAAUGUUUUGUUAACAUCUCAAAAGUAUAUUAGCUGCUUGGAAAUUUAUUUUAAAUAGACUAAUUAAGUUUGCUCCAAUCCUUCCCUAUGGCAUAAAACAAGGGGUAACCCCCCCAUAAAACAAGGCAUAACCCAGGGUGUAGGGGUAGGGGUUACCCAUGUGGCUAUGUAUGGAGGUGGGUAACCUAACCCCGGGGUAGGGGUAACCCCUUACCGAGAGGUAACAAAGGGGUCAGGGUAAUACACUACUGAUGGGUAACAGACCCAUGUUUACAUUCACCUGCGCCUGUGUCGCCUGUUUACACUCACAAACGCACAUGUCUUCACCAAUCACUUUGUGAAUGCCCAAUUAUCGACAUUGCCGCACCAAAACAUGCCUUGUUCAGAAACCUAAACCUAAGGAUAAGGCACACAGCUGCAGCUUAGAUGCAAGGAGGCAGACAGACAGGCUUACAUAGGCAGAGCAAAUUGGGGACCACGAGAAGCCGCCAGCGAAGCCAAUAAAUAUCCCUAUCAAAGGAUCCAAAAUAUUCCUAUCAAAAGAUCCAUGCACCUACCUAAGACUCAUGGACCAGCUCAUGACCUAAGACUCACUGGUCAGCCAACGGGCAGCAAUGUAAAGUCGGCCAGUAGGUUAAGUCCCCCGUCCCGACCUGCUAAUUCCAGCUCUACGCAUGACCUAUGCAACAUCCAGAGUCUGCUCGUUUUCGGAGCAGGCUCUUAGGAGAGCCUCUCCUAAGAGUGUUGAGGGUCUUGGGUGGGAAAUCCGGAUGUUUGACCCUGGACAUGGUCACACCCGGCAAAGUGUGUGAGGCGGUAAAAAUCCUCGGAUGUCACUGGAUAUCUUGCUAAAUGAGGUCCACCAUAAGUGUGGGCCUGUGCUGCAGAAAGACAGUCAACAGUCAUGUUGUGGUGGUCCACGCACACAAACGCUAGGACGCCACCAUUUUUGCCGCCAUACGCACCAGUAUUGCAAAGUGGAUUGUAUGUGUCCAUUGUAUGUAUGUUCAAUUGGAAUAUGAUUGACUGAAUUGUUGAUAGUGGUCAUCGCUUAUUUUAGCAUGUCCAUCUAAUUAAAAGACCAGCCAAGAGUGUGCAUUAUAUGAGCUUACAAGCUAAUUAGCUGUGAUUAAGCUUGUUUGUGUGUCUGGUGCCCUCGCUCAUAUUCUGGUGGCCUCACUCAUAUUCCCUGCCAUGUACGAGUCGUGACUGUGAGAACAUUUCCGCAUACACCAUAGCCUGCAUGGUGCAGUGGGGCAGGGGACUGGUACAAGGGGGCCCUUGUUUGCAGGUGCUGGGAUAUCAUCUAUGAUGUAGCCUCCACAGCUGGAUGGACAAAGUGCUCACAAUAGAUGCAUCCGUAUUAUUUAUGUGCCCAAGCCUAACACAUACCCUAUGGCAUCCUAUUUCACAAUUUAUUGAUCUCUUGGUGGUACACCAAGAACAGUUUUUGAUGCACUUGUGCCCUCAUACAUUACUGAUUUCGUGGAUGACAGGCGAUCCCAAGAUGGAGCAGUUCAUUGAGGAGACCAAGAGGACAGGUAGCACACACCUUAGGCUGUGUAGUAGUCAAUUAGGUUCUAGUAAUGGCCAUGCCUGGUGUGGGUGUUUGUGGGGCUUUAUUAGUGGGUGCUGUGAAACGUAACCUCAAUAGCUGGGUGGAUAAGGUGCUCACAAUAGAUGUAUCCGCAUGUUUUAUGCUCCUUGCUCUGAUACCUGUCCAGCCCAUGAUUGCUACACCAAGAACAGUAUUCAUUUCACUUGUGCCUUCCUACAUGGCUGAUCGUGUGCAUUACAGGCCAGCAGAUCCUCAAUGUGACGACGAAGACAGCUGAUGUCACGGCGAAGACAGCUGCAGCAGUGGACAUCCUGGCAAAGCUGCAGCGCACACAGUUCCGAUACACUGCGAGCAAGGCGUCAACCUCCCGGAAGGGUGACGACUUCAAGAAGAAGCUGGAGAAGUUCUAUGAGAACACUCCAGAUGAGGAGAUGAAGCUGCGCUGCAUGCUGUUGGAUAUCAAGCUGCCCAAGACCCUGGUUACCGGUAAGGCUUGCACCCUGUCACCCUGUGGAGUAGACAUGCAUCUGUGACUACCCUAAACAACACGGGUGCAUUCUUUUCCAGGUGCGCACCUCUUCAAGUAUUGCUGGUGAGUCGACUGGGGAGAUACUUUUUAUGUUUAGGCCAUGCUGUGGCUGCUCUUGCACUUGCAGGGAAGGGUGAAUUAGUAUGUGUUUUUUUGUUGUUACAUGGUCGUGGGUGUGCUCCCCCUACCUGCAAACCACCCUAAUACGAGCUGAGGGCUCAAGGGCUGCCAGAUCGCCUAUAAGCACCAUCCUACCUCGCACUUCCAACGAAACAAGUGAUGAAGGAUACUAAAUGACCAAAGGGAACGAUAGAGUUGCGGUGGGACCAUAUAGGUUCCAGCAUCCUUGCCAGGCGUUUAGGUUCCCACUUCAUAGCAUCCUUCAUAUGCUCGAAGCGUGGGAAACCCAUAUCAGAUCUGAUUUUGUUGUACAUCAGACAGUCCAGCAAAAUGUGCUUCUCAUCCUUGAUAUGGCUAUCAGUGCCGCAGCAAGGGCAUACUCGCUCCUCCCUAGGUAUAUAACUGUGUCCCUUACACGCUCUUUUAGCCGCCAAUGCCCAACAUCAAAGCCUAAACUGCAUAAGCUUGAGAUUCGCUGAGCACGGGAUAAACAUUGUGAUAUGCGGGAGCACCUCCUUCCUGCCCGCUUGUCCGGGCGCCAGACCCAUCCAAUGCUUAUACUUCGCCAUGUGAAUUCCUGGUUGCUUGCCGUCUGAUGGGUACACAUCUGGCUGGAGUAUGUGUUUAUCUUUUAACUUUCUCUUUUUUCAUUUUCUCCACCAGGCAUGGACACAUUAACACGUUGCUGGGUCUCAAGCCUCGUGAGAUCAAUAACCCACGCAACGGAUUACUGCUGUUCAAGCCACUUGAGUAUGCAUACGACGAUUCCCGAUUCGCCAUCAAUUGCAAAGAUGGCGAUGAUGGGCCCGUGUUUUUUAUGGUGCUGCUCGACACGGGGCUUAAACACGUCAAGGUGUGAAUUUAGUGUAUUAAAAAUUACUUGAAGUAGCUUACCCUCUUGAAGUAGCUCACUCUUGGUUUUGAGGCAGGGGAGAUGCCCCUAGGAUUUAUGUGCAUAAUGAGUAGCUUGCUCCUGUAGCACUAACCUGGUUGUGAAUGGGAGGGGAUUGUGACAAAGUGAAGGUCUCACUGCCAGCAGCCCUGAGGAGGACUGCAUGAGAAGCAACAACAGCAGUUGUAUCUAUCAAAGUAAACCAUCACUCUGAUGCAUGUGUAUCUACACUGUUUCUUCUAGGAUAUAAAUCCUCUGGCUUUGUGUUUGUAUCUGUUCUUGUAUUAUCUAUCCAGGUGUGGGACUUCGCUGUGCACCACAACCUCACCAAAGGCUACAGUGUAGAGCAGCUCGACCCGAAGGUGUCAACGAUCACGUUUGGUGACCUUGACGGCACGGAGCUGGUGCUGAGCAACAAGCAUCAUCACCCUUACAAGCGGUCCCUUGCCUUCCAGGCCAUGAUGGCCACGGAGCGGGCAGUGGAGGAGGAAUGGCAGCCAGCCAACAGGCCACCGAUGGAGAUUCUCAGUUGCAUAUCCUUAGAGGCGAAGGUGAACUUCGAUGCAUGGCUCGAAAUGGCUGCACAUGCGCCACCUCCGAUGGCUACGGAGAGCCUUGAUGAUGAUGACGAGUAAUGGUGCAGGUGAGGGUCCACAGCUAUGUGCAUUCUUGUGGCCAGAUGGAUUAGUGCAUUACAGAUCCAGUAUUUAGGAUUGUGUGUUUGUGUGUGUUACACCUUCUGGAGUUGCAUUACCCUCCUCAGGUGUAAUGGGCUCACAUGAGGGGCCAUAGAGCCAAUCAAAGACAGAUUAAAUUAUGUAGAUGUCAUAAAUGUACAGGAAAACUCCUAUCCUAUUAAAAACUACUAUCCUAUCAUGUGAAGAGGUUACCAUCUUCAGCUGGCCAUCCACCACUACCAUAUAUGUGAUGACUGUGGUUCUGGAUCCGGAGCUGGGUGGCUUAUUUUUGGACAUGGAUAUGUCUUUUGACUUUACAUGUUAUUUGUGGGCCAUGAAUUGCUGUUCAACUACUGUUGAGAGUCCAUGGUUUGGAGCAGGGCAGCUUGUUUUUGGAUGUGGAUGUGUUUGUGGGUUGUACAUCAUGACAGCACUAUGGGCAAGGUUGGCAUUGAUUUUUGCAACAUUUUUGUUUGUGGGCUGUUUGUGGGCUGUUCAUUGCUUGGUGCAUAGUCAGUGUAUUGCUUACCCGCAUCCCACCUUGUAGGACUGUGAAUGUUGGAUCAGAUUGAUGGCUUUACAUAUCCCGUGCUUUCUGGCUGUCUUUGAAGUAUUACCUAGGCUUGGUCCAUCAUGUGUUUAGAGCAUCAGCAAAAUUCUACACUUGACAGUCAGACAUAGUAGGGGCAAUUAAGUAGUUUGAGAAGGCAGUGCAUUGCAUCCAUAGUGCAAUGCAUCUUUGAAGCUCAAAAGUGAGGUAUACAGAGUGCAUACUAUGUGUGAUUGAGUGACAUGACUAGUUGACUUAGGUGCAACUGAGCAAAGCAAUCAGAGCCUCUUUAAGUCUGGUUCUGUGUGACUGUCCCACAAGUGUGAUCUAGUGGCAAGCUUAAUGUGCUUCUGCUCUCUUGUUUCAGGCAUUUUGCCUUUCACUCAGUAGAGCUUCAGCUUCUAUAGCUGCUAAUUCCCUACCUGCCCUCCUGUUUCAGCUCUGCAGAUUCCCCCAAACCCAGCUCGGCCAACAGUAGGCCACCCACAGGAGCUGGCUGACAUCUGGGUGCUGUGGCGCCCAGAGCAUGGGUUGCUUUCAAGACUUAGGGAGGAGAAGGGGUGCUGGCGGUUGGGCAGGCUCCAAGUGUGGCUGAGGAGGUUUAAGUGUCAUGGUCUCGGUCUUGGGUGGUUAGGCUAGGCUGUGUCUCCAACCUGUAGUAAGGUUGCUGCAGUACUCCUUUUUUGGUAGCGGCUUGGGCAUAUGGCCCUUCCUGCUCUUCCUUUUUUUGUGUGAGUGUGGGUGGUGAGUGUUCAGCUGGCUUUUCCUGCUAGGUGGCCCCGAAUGCAGGUUGCAUUGCAGGCCCUUUUUGGGUAUGACUGCGCAGUUUUGUUAGCAGGCAGUGUGGAGGCGCCCGGCUGGUGUGCAGCUUGGCUGCAGUGUAAGGGUUCUCGGCAGCUGUUCCCUGCCCCUUGGUCCCUGCCCUUUCAUAGUGUUGUAUGACGACUUUUUCAGAUAAGAAUCGAACCGUGGAUGCAAAUCCCAUGAUAUACCCAGGAUAUUAGUAGGGUAUCCUCGACCGUUUAUCUAUCUCAGGGUGCCUGUGGGAUGACAGCAUCCACAUGAUAACCAGCAGUCAUACCUGCUAGAUACCAAUUCAUUAUACAGCAAGCCAUGAAGGCUAUAGGACAUAACUCGACUUUUUCAGGAAAAAACUGAUCGGUGAAUGCUCAUUCCACCCAGCAUACUACACUUACCACCAGGGGUCGGCAAACGCCGCUGGUAAAGCGGGUCCUUCCGUUGUACCCGUUGCAGAAAUUCAACUCUAUUCUUCAUCGCUGGUACGGCAGCCGUACGGCAGGGUGCAGAAAUUCCCCCCAAAAGGCAGGUUUGCGCAGUUUUGAAGCUAUAAACUUCAUCAUUAGGUUACCAAACCUUCCAUUUUACAAGGAGGUAAACGCUAGCUUUGAGAGGUUCUCAUACCGAACAGUCAAUUGACGACCUUUCCUCGGCUUUUACCAAAAACAUUUCCAUACAGUUAUUCGACCCUGGCACCAGUACCCGUGACAGUUAUUCAGGGUUUGCCGACCUCUGCUUACCACUUCCUUUCUAGAUGCAGGUUAAGGGAGAUAAGAGCACAGAUUUAAUCCCUAUGCAGCUAGCUAGGUGCACGUGCAGCAAAGCAGCAAUCCAUGGUGAAGCCCUCUUCUUGACUCAUGUACGAUUCCUGCCCGCUUUAGGCAUCAUACGUCAGCAGCACAAGGCGUUAUCCGUCCACAACUAUUGCUUUAUGGAAAUACAAAUAUAUGCCUUCCCCUUAUUUCCCGUCAUCGUGUCGCUUUUUUGUCGCUACUUUGACUUUACCCAGGCGAGCUCCUAACUUCGUUGAAGCCCUAAAACUAGGGUUGCAUGGAUUGUUAGAAUGGCAUCAGUUCUAAUCUAAUUAUAAUAUUAUUUCUAAGUAGAAGUUCGGAACAAUAUUAGAAGGAAGGUGACAACUAGGGGUAAACGAAGUACUUUGAGGCUGAAACUUCCGCUAUAUGACCUCUCAUCCUUUCGCAGACGUUUCCAGAUUAUCUUGUCAGUUGGGCGAUUCCUUGGGGGGGCUGCCAGCCGAACCCAGGGGUGCCCCGACCCGAAUCGGGCUCCAGCACGCUUGUCACGAACACAACAUGCACGCAAAUACCACCAAAGCCAGCAAUAAUAAACUGACUUCUGGACCCUUGAGUACAUCGCCUGGACACUGGGAAAUAGAGAGGAUCAGGGCCCAACGCACAGCCACACCACCAGAACUCCAAACCACCCGCUCACUCCUGCACCUCUAGCCCCUCAAUCAGCUUCAUCAUAACCUCAUCAUCAUGCACACCGCGUUCCUCUUAGCUUUGGCGCUUUUCAGUGCCUCACAAUAGGCCGCCGCAUCCAGCUCGCUCUUGCCAUACGUGUAAGUAUCCUUCUUUGCUGUUUGCUUAGACGGCCCGGCACCGGAGUCGGUCAUUUUUGGGGGACUAAACGAGUCAAGGCUGUCGUUUCGCUUCAAAUGUGUGUUGGUUUCCGGGCAUUCUAAUAGUACAACAUUAGAACGUUCUAACCCAUUCUAGGCCUGCUCUUCCAAAAUUCUAAUUAGAAAUUAUAUAUUAUAAUUAGUUCUAAUUAUUUCUAACAUUCUAAUAGUGCUGCAGCCCUACCUAAAACCCUAAACCCUAAAACACCCAAAUGCCCGACCAGCCACACGCUGCCAUCUUGCAUCUCAGUUGUGGUGCACCAUCUACCGACCUACCUACCUUCCCAGAUAUUUAGGUACCUACCUAGCUGUCUAUCUACCUGCUGCCUUCACACAUCCAAUCCGGAUAAACGAUGGCAGCCUGAUGCCUUGUGCACAGGCGAAGCUCCCAUUACACCCCCCUGUCCGCCAGAAACACGUAACUAAAUGUAGGCGCCCAUCAGUCGAGGUGUAACCCCGAGCUGCUAGGGCACAGCAACCACUCGAAAUGGCCAGAGGGGCGCAAAAGCUAUCGCAACAAGAAGCGCAACCAGAAGCGCAAGCACCAGCAAAG
rnacentral:lncRNA from 1 species